AAAACAUUAAACAACCAUGCGUUCCACUGGCGUCACUAGUACGUACUACUAUCGUUCUGGUUUGAUGUCAAUUUUUUAUGGUGGUUUUUUUAGCGAUGCAUGGGAGAUAAAUGGUUUAAGAUGUAUCUCCAGCUAUUGAAGUGAGGGAAAGCCUUUUUCUUUCCCCCAGCCAAAAUCUGAUAUAGUUGGUCAUGUUUCUUGCGACAAAU
rnacentral:snoRNA from 1 species